AGCCUUUCUACAUAACAGAAGGCCCGUUUCAUCACAGUGUUGGUGCUGACCUUCAAAGCCCUAAAUGGCCUCGGCCCAGUAUACCUGAAGGAGCGUCUCCUCCCCCAUCGUUCUGCCCGGACACUGAGGUCCAGCGCCGAGGGCCUUCUGGUGGUUCGCUCACUGUGAGAAGCAAAGCUACAGGGAACCAGGCGGUGGGCCUUCUCGGUAGUGGCACUUGCCCUGUGGAACGCCCUCCCACCAGAUGUCAAAGAGAAAAACAACUACCAGACUUCUGAAGGCAGCCCUGUUUAGGGAAGCUUUUAAUGUUUAAUAGACUAUUGUAUUUUAAUAUUCUGUUGGAAACCGCCCAGAGUAACUGGGGAAACCGAGCCAGAUGGGCGGGGUAUAACUAAUAAAUUAUUAUUAUUAUAGUCACAUGUUGGGAUUGGAAAAUGCAUAUCUUCCUUGCGCUUAAAUAGAGAAAAUAGUUUCCUGACCCACCAGAGGUGUUAAUUAACAUAGUAAAUACAGUAUUGGAAGACUGUGUUACAAGCAAUAGCAGUUAAGAAUGGUCACUGUGUUUAUUUUGCACAUACUUCAUUUAAUACAGACUAUAUUUUAACCAUCUCAUGAUCAUUUGAGCCCAGUAUUUACACCCACCUCCCACUAACGUGUUUUUUAAAAAAAUAUUCCUGCCAACUGAGAACAAUACUUCAUGCAUCUGAUGAAGUCCACAAAGCAUUUUGCCUUAAUAAUUGUGUUUGGCUUAUUUUUGCUGCAACAGACUAACACGGCUCCCUCACUGGAAUAUCUUUCUAUCUUUAAUUGCCUAAAGCAGUGAUGGCCAAACUCGGCCCUCCAGCUGCUUUGGGACUACAAUUCCCAUCAUCCCAGACCACUGGUCCUGUUAGCUAGGGAUGAUGGGAGUUGUAGUCCAAAAACAGCUGGGGGGGCCAAGUUUGACCAUCACUGGCCUAAAGAGUCAACUGAAACAUAACCAAAGCAAAACAACAUGGCUUUUCUGAUGAUUCUCCUACUUCUGUGGAGCUCAAGGUUUCAGUUGCUGCUAUGGAGCACAUAAUUUAUAACCCUGUUAGGUAUAUGUUUAACAUUUCUCCUACAGGCUUGCAGAAUCUGUUAAUUAAUUGUAUUUUUGAAACAUGAAUGAUUAGAGAACAAAUAAAUUUUACCAUGAUUAAACCACAGGCCCUUUAGCAAGAUCAGUCAAUACAAGCUGACACUAAAUAAAGAGGGGUAAUCUAGUAGUUUUAUCAGAUGGGGAACUUGUGGUCCCCCAGUUGUUUUUGGACUUCAGCUCCCAUCACCCCUGGCCAUUAUUAUUAAUUAUACCUAUUAGGCACCCCCCCCAGUGAACUCAAGGUAACUUACAAAAAUGAACAUAAAAGCAAGCAUAAAAACAUCUUUAAAUGCUCACCAAUACUCACCAGUGCCACAUUUGUGUGUGUGUGUGUGAGAGAGAGAGAGAGAGAGAGAGAGAGAGAAAGUGUGAGUUAAGCGUUUGGGGGAUAGGCUGUAUGCCUGAGUCCCUUUCUAAUUCCUAAUCCAGCACAGAUUCAAUUCCUUGAAUAGCCAGGCUAGCUUCCUGGUGAGGUACUGACCCUCUAAGUAUGGGCCACUGAGGUUACAAAGGACGUGGCUCAGGGGACAGGCAGAAAAUGGGUGGGUUUCCCUCCCUCAACUCACUGGUAGUUAAAGAGGCAAAAGGCCAGAGUUGAGAAUUUAGGUGUGUGAGAGGUAGAAGAUAGAAGCAAAGCUUCAGGCUGGGCAGCUGGGAGGCAGAAUCAUUCCUGAUUUCUGCUGGAAUCCAAGGCUGUGGCUAUGGGAGAAACAAGGCCCUCUUGGGGUGUUAAUGCUGUAAGUCCCUCCAUUGUAGGAUCAGGUUGUAUAUAUGUGUAAAUAAACCAUAUAUCAUAAAGACACCGGUCUCCACUGUCCCUCAUUCCAAGGAAACAACCCUUGCCUAGAAUCCCUGGAAUCUCACACCACUCAGAGCUUGGACUGAUACGCAACAAUAUAAUAUAAUGGCUCUUGGCUGUGCUAGCCGGGGCUGAUGGGAGUUCAAGUCCAACAACAUUUGGAGGGUCACAGGUUCCCCAACCCUUAGGUGAUUCUGCAACUUGGUGUCAUCAAAACAUUAAAUAGAUAAGGACUAAUUUAGUGCAUUGGUCGGUAUAUGGCUUGGGACUGUGGUAUAUUGAAUAUCUCUUAAGAUGCCUAUAACGGAACAGUCAGUUUUCCCUUCUACCACUGGCCUGAUGUUGUUUACUUUCACCUCUGUCCAUGUAUAUGAACGAGUGGAAGGCAGUGUUCCUAAGAAAAAGGAAGCUGUUUAUAAACCUGUCUUUGCUGAUUUGGGAUUUUUGCUGCCUUUAAAUAUUGGAAGCUACAGAAAUAUAUUUAAGCAUGAAGGUAGGGAUGGAAAGCACUAUGCCAAAUCCAGGUUCAUGGGGCAUCGGGACAGCCUUAUAUUGCUGCCAUGCAGACACUUUACACUUUAGGAACCAGUGCAUGCUUUCUGCUCCCUUUCACUGUGUCACCAGUUACACAGAACCCCAACUUGAGUAAAUAUGGUUUGGUAGCUUCUGCAUGAGAGAGUUUUCCUAUUUUUAAACUCAUCCCAUUCCAAUGUUUUGUCUUCAUUUUACAAGGCUAACAUUGUUUACUCAGUUGUUAAUUCAGUUGCUUACCCACCCUACUAUAUUUCACUGGACACUUCAUUGCCAACAGUGCUGAUGUUGUUUUGCUAAUGAAAUACAGAAGUUAAAAAAGUCUUACUGCAUUACAUGCAGGAAACUAAUAAAUUCCUUGUCUCUCCACAAGGCUCGACACCAUUUUUCAGCAAGUGUCUAUUUCCUAACCUACGGUAAUUAGAAAAAAAGAGCUCAUUAAAUGCACAAAGAAUUAAGCCAACUAAUGCUUAUCAUGUUUUAAUUUUGCUUUAGGCACAUUUUUUCUCCUCUGAAAACUUUUUAAUAAAAAAAAUAGACUAAGUUGCUGUGUAAGAAAAGACUUACAUGUUUAAACACAAUUCCUUGAAAAACACAGGAAAUAUUUGAAUGUCUUACAGUUAAUGGCAGAAUGUUCUAGGUUGUGGCAUGCCCUGGCAGGCUAUCUUUUCAGAUCUAUGGCAUCUGAAGCUGUUCUAUAUCUCCACACAACUUGAAUAGCACCUGCACCAUUUGUGCACUUAAAAAAAAUUGCCCAAUAUCUUGCCCACUAUUUAUCUUUAAAUAGGAAUAUUGUAUUCAUUAACAUCAAGUGAGAACAUGCCACAUUUCUCUGUUUUGAUUUCCAGAGAGGAAGUAGUAUUUAUUGCAUUAGAUUUAUCCUUAUGAGCUUUUAUAGUUAAUUCUAGACAAAGAUAAAUUUCUGUCGUUUGCAGUUUAUAUGCAGUUGGAAAAGAAUAGGCAAAAACAGUUGUGAGGGAGUAGGCAAAAGUUUGUUGUACUGAUGUUUGGCUUGUGGUCAUUUGUGCUAUAUUUUCAUUAAAGUUAAAUAACUAUAUAAUUACUUACAUCUGUAUCUUGCCAAACACAUAAGCCAAGGACUUUCAGGCAUCUUUCAGUUAUAUUUGUUGUUAUGGCUGUCAUUGUGGAACACUCAUAAAAUGGCUACGUUCUUGCACUGAAGCAAGCAAAGUAAUGAAUUAUGACAUUUAAAUUUAAGAUUAAAUAAUUAAUGAGCUGGAGCACACAGGUGAACAAUAAAGAAAGAAAAUUUAUCAUCACAACCGCCUGACCAAUGCUAUUUUUCUAGAAAAAAGAGGUACUGGAAUUCACCAUGACCGAUUUAGCUGCUAGCACACAGAACCUUAGUCAGGAAUGUGACUACAGGAAGACAAAGGGUACAAUUUUGUAUACAGGUGACAUUUUGUCCAAGAGGGGGAAACAAUUACUAGGUAUCAGCUGUAUUCAUGGACAAUUAUGCCACAAACCAUUGUUUAAUAGGCCAAAUCCAUAUCUGGAGGAGAGCUACAUUGCCAUCAAGAGCAAACAGGCCUGGGGGUGGGGGCAGGGUAGAUAACAGAACACUUUACAGCAGUGAUGGCCAAACUUGGCCCACCAGCUGCUUUGGGACUACAAUUCACCUCAUCCCUGACCACUGGUCCUGUUAGCUAGGGAUGAUGGGAGUUGUAGUCCCAAAACAGCUGGAGAGGCAAGUUUGGCUACCCCUGCUUUACAGUGAAACAUUACCAUUAGGCAAAAUGAGGCAGCCAUGGGUGGCAGAUUUUGUGAGGUUGUAGCAGUAAGGGGCUAGUGGCUAGAGCUAUGUGCAUUAAGUGGCUUGCCCUGCACCCCUUGCUGUCUUUAGGUAUGGUAGAAGAUACUGUCUCAGCACCAGUGUUUUAGUAAACAGCCAUUCCAGGCUACUUCUGGAUGGGGGGGGGGUGUAAUGCAUUUUCUCCACCUCAUAUUAAAAUUGGACCAAACCCUGUGCUGAAGAGAAACCUAGCAAAUAACUGAACAUGAACCAACAGUAGCAGUAUCAGAGGUUACCUCAGUGGCCCUGCUGUCUUCAUGAAGUGUCCACUGAAGUGGCACUAUUACAUGAUGAAUGCAAGCUGCCAUGAAGAAACAAUGCUCUUAUGGUUUUUUGAGCUAUUCUUGAGUGAUGAUGCCUAGGUUCACCUGGGUGCAAAACUAGAGUUGGGCCUCGUUAGGCAGUAAAUGGGCAUACCUUCCAGCACAUCCCAACAACUAAGGGUUUUGACAGCUGUCUUUCCUCUGGAUUCAGCAUGUGAGAUUAAGAGUGGGAUUGAAAUGUUGGCAAGCCUGAGUAGUCAUUUCACUGCCUUGGCUUUUGCAGCAGAUGAGAGAGAGGGCAUGUUGACCUUGCUUUCACCCAGAGAAACAUGACAAAUCCAAAGUCUUACUAAGACAGAUGGUUGCCACAAAAAUUCUGUGUGUGUCAGGUCUUUGACUUUGCCAUGAGCAUAGUCAGCAGUGUAUCUAUUUUGAGCACUGUAGCAAGAAAAAAUUAUUUUCAGUUCAGUCGUUCUAUCCCUUGCUACACACUACUGUAUAAGAAGUGCAGUGAACAAAACAAUGAGUUGCCCCUAUGGGUUGCGUUCUUUGAUUUUUAAAAAUAAAGGAAAGAAUGUACAUAAAUAUAUCAUCUGUCUGAAAUACAACACCUUUUGCACAAUUCAUAGUGAGUAUACAGAAUUCACAGCUGCUGAAUGCUGUGUUGGCCAUUAGAAUAGACUGCUUUAAAAGGAUCAGGCAAACUAAUGUAAUAUAGGUUUAUCAAUUACCAUUAUCCAUAAAAACUAAAACAAAGAACUUCUAUGUCCUGAAUCAGUAAAGUUUUGAUUUCCAGAUUCUUGGGACAAAUAAGAGAUGCUUAUCUUCAAUUUGCCUUGCUUGAAAGUCACAGAGCAUCUAGUUAGCCAUUAUGGAAAACAAUGGUGGAGAUGCACCUGUGUUCUGAUCAACAAAGCUGUACUUAUGUCACAUACAAAUCCCAUGCAAUUUGAUAUCUUUUUGAAAUGCAUACUGUUUCUUGCACUUCUAUGUUAGUGCUAAAGUUCAGAACCUGUAAGGUGUGAAGCUUCUACCAGGACAGGCCUUUUGAAAGGGACGAAAAGCAAUCUCAUGUUCACCGCCAGCCAAUCCAUUGGACAAGGUGGACAAUUGCCAGGACUUUGGGAACCUGUAGUUCUCCUGAUGUCGGAUUCCAAUUUGCAUCAGCUCUGUCAAGCAUGGCUAGUGGUCAGGGAUAGGAAUUGUAGUCAAGCAGUAUCUGGAAGGCCACAGGUUCCCCAGUCCUGACCUACAAGGUGUGUUAUCCUUAGAGACUUUGGCAUUACACACCAUCAGAACAUUGGGGCUUUAGCAGCGUAAACAUUGUUUUCAUGGGGAAUCCACUCAAUAACUGGCUUAGUAUUUAUGGCAAGUGCCUUCCAGGACCUAUACAAAAAGCCAAAACCACAAGAUGAUCCACUUCAUUUAGUAAGGAUGCUUCCUGCCUGAAGACCAUUUGGAAUUCAUUGUUUGGGAACCUUAUUGCUCACAUAUUCCUACUUAGUUACAGCUGGUAGCAGUACAGUGAUU